CUGGAUAACGACCAAGCCGAACCUUCACAGCCACUAGAGGGAGACGAAGAACGUUGGUAUCUGCCCAUAUUUGGUGUUUACCAUCCACAAAAGCCUGAACAAAUACGAGUAGUAUUUGACUCCGGUGCUAAGUGUCAAGGCGUGUCACUUAACGAUGUUCUGCUCAGUGGUCCAGACUUAAACAACACACUCUUGGGUGUCCUAAUGCGUUUCCGCAAGGAUUGCAUUGCACUAACAGCAGAUGUGCAACAAAUGUUUUACUGUUUUGGUGUACGUGAGGAUCACAGAGAUUACUUAAGGUUUCUCUGGUAUGAAGACAACAACCCAGAUGGAAACAUAACCGAGUACAGGAUGAAAGUGCAUGUAUUUGGGAACAGCCCUUCACCAGCCGUAGCCAUCUACUGCAUGAGACGAGCAGCGCUACAGGGUGAGAAGGAACAUGGGUCAGAACCCAAGCAAUAUGUAGUGAGGAACUUCUACGUCGAUGAUGGUCUGACAUCAGUAGCUACUACAGAAGAAGCUGUCAACAUUCUAAGAAAAACACAAGCAAUGUUGGCGGAGUCCAACAUGAAACUACACAAGAUUGCAUCCAAUAGCAAAACAGUUAUGGAAGCCUUCCCUAUGGAGGACCGUGCGAAAGACUUAAAAGAUCUGGACCUAGGAGUGGAUCCUCUCCCCUUUCAACGGAGUCUGGGACUUUCCUGGAACCUGGAAACAGACAGCUUCUCAUUCCAGGUGUCCCACAAUGAGAAGCCUUUUACGCGGAGAGGCAUCCUGUCCACAGUGAAUAGUCUUUAUGACCCCCUUGGGUUCGUGGCUCCAAUAACAAUGCAAGGUAAAGCCUUAAUCAGAGAACUCUCUUCUGAUCAGAGUGAGUGGGAUGCCCCUCUUCCCACAGAAAAAGAAGAGGAAUGGAAAAUGUGGAAGGAAUCUUUGAUGGAGUUGGAACAUAUGAAUAUUCAGCGGACCUACAUCCCAGUCUCCUUGUCUACCACUCAAAGAAGAGAGCUACACAUCUUCUCGG
rnacentral:lncRNA from 1 species